CUCUAGUUAGUAUAGAUUGGUACGUUUGCCUUCCAAGCAGAAAGCCUGAAUAAACCCAGACUAGAGA
rnacentral:tRNA from 1 species